ACGUAGGCAGCGAGCGUUGUUCGGAAUUACUGGGCGUAAAGGGUGCGUAGGCGGUUUUCUAAGCCGGAUGUGAAAACUCUGGGCUCAACCCAGAGCCUGCAUCUGAAACUGGAGAGCUAGGGUUUUGGAGGGGAAAGCGGAAUUCCAGGUGUAGCGGUGAAAUGCGUAGAUAUCUGGAGGAACACCGGUGGCGAAGGCGGCAUCCUGGACCGACACUGACGCUGAGGAGCGAAAGCCAGGGGAGCAAACGGGA
rnacentral:rRNA from 1 species